rnacentral:ncRNA from 1 species
AAAAAGUUUUAUUCUAGCUAAAACUUUCACUUAAUGUUUCCUUUUUAUGUAAGUUUUAGCGUAUAUAAUUUUAAAUAAUUUUAUUUGCAGUUAUUAGUUUUAAAUAUUUAAGUAAUUAAGAUUUAGGAAUAUUUUUUAAUUCUAACUAAAUUUGUGCCAGCAGUUGCGGUUAUACAAAUAGUGUAAGUGAAAUAUUUUAGGUGGUAGUUAAUAUGUAAUUAUUGUAAUUGUUAUUAAAAGUUUAUUAAGUGAAAUUUGAACUUUUAUUUAUAUUUUAUUAUAUGAAGCUAUUAAAUUUUUAUUUAAACUAGGAUUAGAUACCCUAUUAUUUUUAAUGUAAAUUUUAACCCUAGGUUAUUAAUAGUUAAUUUCUUUAAAACAAAAGAUUUUGGCGGUAUUUUAGUCUUUUCAGAGGAACCUGCCCUGUAAUUGAUAGUCCACAAUAAAAAUAACUUUUUUUAUUAAUUUGUAUAUCGUCGUGUUAGAUUAUUUUAAAAGAUUUUAAAUGGUCAAGGUUCUUUAUUAAGAAAUGAAUCAGAUCAAGAUGCAGUUUAUAUAAAAGAAGAGGUGGGUUACAAUAAAUUUAUUUAUGUGGAUUAAAUUUUGAAAAUUUUUUAUUAAAUUGGAUUUGAAUGUAAUUUUAUUUUAUUUUUUAUUUUGAUUAAGCUCUAAAAUAUGCACAUAUCGCCCGUCGCUUUCAUAAAAUUGAAAUAAGUCGUAACAAAGUAGGUGUACUGGAAAGUGUACCUAGAAAGAU